rnacentral:rRNA from 1 species
UACGGAGGGUGCGAGCGUUAGUCGGAAUUACUGGGCGUAAAGCGCGCGUAGGCGGUUUGGUAAGUCGGAUGUGAAAGCCCUGGGCUCAACCUGGGAAUUGCAUUCGAUACUGCCUGACUAGAGUAUGGUAGAGGGAAGUGGAAUUUCCGGUGUAGCGGUGAAAUGCGUAGAUAUCGGAAGGAACACCAGUGGCGAAGGCGACUUCCUGGGCCAAUACUGACGCUGAGGCGCGAAAGCGUGGGGAGCAAACAGG